rnacentral:rRNA from 1 species
GUGCCAGCCGCCGCGGUAAUACGAAGGGGGCUAGCGUUGUUCGGAAUUACUGGGCGUAAAGGGCGCGUAGGCGGUACUUCAAGUCAGGCGUGAAAGCCCCGGGCUCAACCUGGGAACCGCGCUUGAGACUGGAGAACUAGAGUUCGGGAGAGGAUGGUGGAAUUCCCAGUGUAGAGGUGAAAUUCGUAGAUAUUGGGAAGAACACCGAUGGCGAAGGCAGCCAUCUGGACCGACACUGACGCUGAGGCGCGAAAGCGUGGGGAGCAAACAGGAUUAGAAACCCCCGUAGUC